CGGCAGCCGGGCCGCCCGCUCCGGGCCGUGGUUCGCGAUCGGGGCCGGACGGAGAGAGCCCGGGACAAGUGCGAACUGGCGUCUGUGUUGGGGGAAAAAGAGAAUAAAAGUUUAAUAAGCGUCGCCGAGCUGUGGAUGACUUUGCGACGACCUCUGUUGCAAAUGGCCUAUGCAUGCGGAAUAAUGGUCUCCUCGGGAGAGGGAAAUAGCUUAGCGCUAUCGUCGUUGCCUCGGUAACCAUCAGAGUCCCCAUCUAGCAAGAGAGAAAUGAGUUAUGAAAAGGCUCGAGUGCAGAAGGGAUUAACACAUGAUCCCGGGGACGUGUGCCAAUCAAAGUCAGCCGAGGACCGGCCCGGCUCUGCGGGAGAACCUCUCCGGAACCGUGCGUCUGGCUGAUGUCCACGGAUCGAGAAGAAAUCUUCAGUCCCUCUGCCCAGAAAGUGUGGCCGAGCACCUGGGAGCUACCACCCCUCACUCUGUUCACUUCUGGGAACAAAUCCUCUCCUUUCCUUACACCACUUCCUCCCUACUUGCGAAGCUGCCCUUGCUGUCCAGGAAUAAUUGGCCUCAAUAGCAUCCCCACCUUUAAGUCGGUCCUCAGAGCCAGCCCGGCCCGCUGGCAGAGUCUCGACCCUGUCUGACCAUUACAUUGAACAAAACCUUCUAUUUUUAUGAAAUCCCUGGAUUUUCUUCUCAAGCCUGAGUUCCUUUGGCAGCGGGAUUUCCUUGUUAGGGCUUCCUUUGCUAAAGGUGGAAUCUGGGUGGUGGGGGAGCCUGGUUCUUGCCGGUGGCUUUCCAAGCCCUCCAGGCCUGCAGACAAGAAAGUGCCCGCAGCAGCGGAAGAGAACUUGGGGUGAGGCGGCCGGGCCGGGCCGGGUGCCGGGGCGCGUGGGGGAGCGGGUGGGGGAGCGAAGAAGGGAGUGCACUGGGUCCUCACGCGGCGCCUUUGCAGGAUCCAGAUUCCGAGGGAAAACGGCUUCUCGGUCCAUGUCCACGGAGGCGAACUUGGGGUGGGGUGAGAACGAACCGGGGGCAAGGUGGAUGGGAAAGUCUGGGCCACCGGAACCGGCGCCCAGAGCGAGGUUCGGGGAAGGCCUGGUGGACCCGAGGUGGGGCACAGCUCAGCGCCGGGGAGGGGGCAGCGGGGCCACCUGCCGCCUGGGCGGGG
rnacentral:lncRNA from 1 species